UGGGGAAUAUUGGACAAUGGGCGCAAGCCUGAUCCAGCCAUGCCGCGUGAGUGAUGAAGGCCCUAGGGUUGUAAAGCUCUUUCGCCAGGGACGAUAAUGACAGUACCGGGAGAAUAAGCCCCGGCUAACUCCGUGCCAGCAGCCGCGGUAAUACGGAGGGGGCUAGCGUUGUUCGGAAUUACUGGGCGUAAAGCGCACGUAGGCGGCUUUGUAAGUUAGAGGUGAAAGCCCAGGGCUCAACCCUGGAAUUGCCUUUAAGACUGCAUCGCUAGAAUUGUGGAGAGGUGAGUGGAAUUCCGAGUGUAGAGGUGAAAUUCGUAGAUAUUCGGAAGAACACCAGUGGCGAAGGCGACUCGCUGGACACAUAUUGACGCUGAGGUGCGAAAGCGUGGGGAGCAAA
rnacentral:rRNA from 1 species